rnacentral:lncRNA from 10 species
GUAUUUAUUUCUCGUGCUGCCAGUGGAGUACAUAUUAUCUGAAGCUGGAAUCUAGAUAGACUACAAAUGCCAUCUCUGUAAGAGGUCUGUGAGACAAACUGGUUCUUCCUGUGGCCUAGGACCUCAAAACACACUUUUUGGAUUUGCAAGUCAGUGAUCAAAACUCCUAAGAUUAAGAUGUAGCAAAGGUGAAAGAAUUUUUGGUGAAUACCAAUAUGCCUACCAUGUAGAUUAUAGUGAUAUACUUAAUAUUUUACGAAACUUUCUUACUUUAUUAUAAUCCAUACCACUGUUCAUUCCCUAUUUAUCCAUCAUACUUAUUUAUUUAAAUGUUCAUUUGCUCAUUUUUAUUUCUUUUCUUUUUCUUUUUUUUUUUUUGGUGAGAUGGAGAUUUACUCUUGUUGCCCAGGCUGGAGUGCAAGAUUUACAUAUAUUAACAAGAUUCACAACAACACUAAGAGGUACCUUAUUUCCCACAUUUUAUAGACGUAAAAGCUGAUUCUCCAGAGAAACAAAACCAAUACCAUAUAGAUAUAGAUACAUAUGAUGAGCGGGUGUUUAUUAGGGAAAUUGGCUCAUGUGAUUAUGCAAGCUGAGAAAUCCCAUGACAGCUCGUCUGUAGGCUGGAGACCCUGGGAUGCUGGUAGUAUGGCUCAGUUUAAGUCUGAAAGCCUCAGAACUAGGGAAGCCGAUUGUGUAAAUCUCAGUCCAAAGUGAAAGGCCUGAGAACCCAGGGCUUCCUGGUACAAGUCCCAAAGUUCAAAGGCCCGAGAGCCAGCAGUUCUGAUGUCCAAGAGCAGCAGAAGAAGAAUGUCUCAGGGGAGAGAAGAAUUUGCCUUUCCUCUGCCUUUUUGUUAUAUUGGGCCCCCAGCCAAUAGGAGGGGAGAAUUUCCCACUGACUCACAUGUCAAUCUCUUCUGGAAACACACUCACAAAUACAUCCAGAAAUAAUAUA